AAUUUCACAUCAUCGAAACCUAGACAGAAUCCGAUGGCGUUGCCAGGCUUCGGAGUACACGAGGGCCAGCCAAACGCUGUCUACUGAGAAACGGACGACAACUUUGAUCAGGAUGAAGCAGCACAUUGACAGUCAUAGGUUGACCUUCGAGAGCUGGGAGACGCCAAGAGUACCAGGAGGAGUGACCGUGGCCUCGGUUUCUUCUGGUCUCACAGCCCUUUUCACUCUGUAGGCUCAUUCUCCGUUAUCCAUACCCACUGAGCCAUCUCUCCAGCCAUAUUGCAUAUCCUUUCCUGCAGGGCAGUGUGGGGGUAGACACUUGAAUCAGAAGCUAUGCUGAAGCCCCGCCCCUGGCUCCUCCCUCCUCUUUUUCUGUGUUGGAUUCAGGGGCCCCCACAUUCCAGGCUGGUAUUUCUGGCUUUCCUAAAACUCCACGGGCUGCGGUAAUAAAUCACAUCACCAUUACAUAAGCAAUGUUUAAGUCCAGCCAGGAACACACAGCCCAGAGAAGAAGGGUUCUCAAUGUUUUGAUUUUUUUUCUUUUCUUUUGGAAGAAAAAACUUGUUGUUCCCAUCCUGACUGGGGCAGAAAUAAACUCCACUUGGUGUGGAGGUGGGGGAGGACGGUUCCUGACCAACAUGGGUAUUGCUCUGUAUACAGCAAUUACAGUUGUGCCCCUGUGGGAAAGCGCAGUGUGGCUUGCUCUGUGGGCGAGAUAAGCAAGAUGGAUUAGACCAUCCUUCCUCUGCUGGCUCCACAGUCGUUUGGCCAAGUCUGGCUCAGCUGUUGAUACCUCAGUGGAUUGAAAGGUCCACAAAAAGCCUUACCUGAACUAGGGGCGGGUCUGAGCCGACAGAUCGUUUCCACCUGGUGGAAGUUACUGAACGGAUUCUGAGCUCAGUAUCAUUUGUGAAAUCUCUAGCCAUCCAGUCUGAAAGAACAAAAACCCUACAAACUCUCCCCCUUUCCAGUCGUACUGGUAUCUUAGUUAGGCUUUCUACUGCUGUGGCAAGACACCAUGUACAGGCAAGUUGGAAAGGAAAGAGUUUAUUCUGCUUGCACUUCCACAGCACUGUUCAUCAUUGAAUAAAGUCAGGGCAGGAACCUGGAGACGUGGAGGAGCGCGACUUCCUGGCUUGCUCCUAGUGGUUUGCUCAGCCUGCAAACCCAGGGCCACCAGCCCAGGGAUGGAACUACUCACAAUAGGCUGGGCCCUCUCCCAUCAAUCACUAAUUGAGAGAGUGCCCUACAGACUUUCCCUAAAGCUUGAUCUUAUGGAGGUGUGUUCUUAAUUGAGGUUAUCUUCUCUCAGAUAUACUGGCUGGGCCAAGUUGACAUAAAAUCUAGGCAGCACAGGUGGUUUCAGUGAGAAUUUCUCCCAUAGGAUCAUGCCUUUGAGCACACAGUCCUUGGUGGUUGUUGGUAUUUGGAAGGUUUAGGAGAUGUGGCCUUGGAGGGAUUGUCACUGGAUGUAGGACUGGAGAGUUUAAAGACUCAUGCCCCCUUUCCAGUUGCUCUCCUUCAUGCUCGCCUUCUGAGAUGUGGGCUGUCACCUUCCUGCUUCUCUUGCCCUAUUUACUGCUCAAUGCCAUUCCCCUCCAUCAUUAUGGAUGCUACCCCUCUGGAAUCAUAAGCCUAAAUAAACUUUGUAAAAAUGUAAAUUGCUUUGGUCUUGGUGUUUUAUCAUAGCAACAUAAAGGUAACUAAUACACCAUUAUUCCCUUGGCAAAGGAGUCAGGAACUCUAAUAUUAAAACUACCUUUCUCCCCAUUGCAUAGUGGCCCACGCCUAUAGUUCCCAGCACUGCCACUGCAGAGGCUGGAGGAUUCCUGCCUUAAGGUCGGUCUGGGAUAAUAGCAGGACUUGGUCUCAUACAGCCAAGGGCGGGGGGGGGGGGAGGCAGCUUAGUAGCAGAGCAUUGACCUACCAUGCACAAGGCCCUGGGUUCCCAUCCUCAUCACCACAAAACAACCAACCAAUUAAGCAAUACCUCUCAUUGGUCAUUUUCCCUGCCAAGCCUGCAGGCCUUUCUCCAUUUGGGAACAGUGUGUGUGUGUGUGUGUGUGUGUGUGUGUGUGUGUGUGUGUGUGUGUGUGUUGGGAGUGGGUGGGUUCCCCUUCAGAGACAUCCUAGAUACUAUUUGGCUCUCUUCUGUGACACAGGCAAGCUAAUAUUUCUGUGCUCACCCCCCACCCCCGUUAUUGUUUUAAAAUGGGUUGAUGAGGCUUCUGACACUGUAGGCUGCCGUGAAAACUUAACAAAUGCCAUGGAAACACUGGUGACUAACCAGGGCAAUAGCAUUUAAAGCAGAGGGAUGAGUAGUUGCAAAAGCCUAUGAAGACACACAACAAACUGUCAAUGGCCUUUUAACAUUAGAGCCGUAGGAUUUAUGAGCUCUAAAAAAAAAAUAAACUCCUCCAUUUGAGCUUUUCUUUAUGUUUAAAAUUUGCACAAUGAACAUACAUCAUUUUUAUAACCCCAAGUUACAAAUGUGAAUUAAAAUUCCACCGAACAUUUAAGGACCAGCUGAAAUGAUACUUUUAUUAAAACUUUCCAGCUUUCCCAUUGGCAGGGAUUCCUCUGAGAAAGUUAUGGAAUCAUGCUGAGCCCUAGCUUGGUUCCCUGUUCAAGGCUAAUGACAGUUGAAUAGAAAAUAUGCAUUCUAUUAUACAUGCAUAUCAAACAUAACGAAGGCCCUGUACUUAAUAAUGGCCCAGUUUAUCAUUUCUGGACUUGGUGUUAAUGCAAAAGUAAUACUCAACGGUACAAUCUGUGCUUUAAACUUUGCAUUUUGGUUCCCCCCCCCCAGGUUAGCAAUCCCUUGAAGGAUACAGUCUCAUGACAUUCUGGACAAGGGCAUGAAGUCAUAGCUUUUAACCAGUUCCAAGACCAAAGGGGUGAAAAACAGGUACUCUGGUGUAUUGUGUUGCCAGCUGGUUUGGGAUGUUACAUUUUGUGUUUUCUUUCCUCCCCCUCCUCCUUCCUCUUCCUCCUCCUUCUUCUGAGUUUUGGGACAAGAUCAAACUCACUGUCCUAGUUUGCCUCCUGUUGCUGUGAUAAAACGUCAUGACCAAAAGCAACUUGGGAGGAAAGGUUUAUUUCAUCCUAUACUUUACAAUGACAGCCUGUUACUGAGGGAAGUCAGUGCAGAAAGUUAAGGCAGGAAUCUGGAGGUAGGAACUUAAGCAGAGGCCACAGAGGAACACUGUUUACUGGAUUGCUUCCUUUAGCUUUAUUAGAUCAAUAAUAUAUAAACAAUAUAUAUAUAUGUAUUAUAUAUGUAAUACAACACAAAUAAAAUAUAAUAAACCAAUAUAGCAUAAAGCCAGUUAGCUUUUUAAUAUAUAUCUGGGUCCGCCUGCCGAGGGAUAGCAUUGAGUACAAUGGGCUCAGAUUUCUUACAUCAGUCAGUAAUCAAGACAGUGCCCCACAGAUACACCCAGGCACCAACAUGGUGGAGACAGUUCCUCAACUGAGACUCCAUCUUUCCGGGUUACGUCUAGGUUUGUGUCAAGUAGACAAAAACUAACCACCGUACUCAUUCCGUAGCUCAAGCUGGUCUUGAACUUAGAGCAUUACAGCUCCUGCCUCUGCAUCUUGAAUGCUGGUAUCACACACAAGUGGCACCAUGAUUUUAUCCUACCACAUCUACAAAAUGCCUGAGCGUAUACAUAAUAGACUCAACACCUUAUCGCAAAAUAAAUUUUGUCUUAUUUGGAGUUUUCCCAGACAAAUAGAUGAUGGUUGGUUAGGCUGAUAUGAUAUUCCACAGGUUAGAUGAACUAAGUGCAUUUCUUAAUAUUUCAACUUCUGAUGGGUUUGCUGGAUAGUAUUUCAUUGCACAUCUGGGAGUAUCCUUAUGUAUUAUAUGUCUUAUGUGUGUGUAUAUAUAUAUAUAUGUAUAUAUAUAUACAGUUGCUAUUUGCAUCAUAAUGGUUCACUUUACCAUUUAUGCACUUUAUGAUAUAAGCAAUUUAUAGCCAUCUGUGAUAUAUCACCUAUCUGUCUGUCUGUCCAUCUAUCCAUCCAUCUUUUAUGCGGACCUGACUAUAUAGCUGUUUCAUAAGCCUGUGUUGACUACAUACACCUGAGAGCAGGAUCUAGGAGCUUUGUGAAGGCGACAGGCAACCAAACCAGCUUGACCACGACUGUGUCGCCAUCCUCAUUGAGGACGUAACUCCUUAGAAUCAAAUGGGGUUUCAAACACUGAGAGCCUCCAGGCUAGUCUCUCCAUCCUCAGGAUCUGCCUCACAGAGGUACGUGUCUGGGAGAGAAAUGGAAAGAGUAUUUUGCAUGGAAGUCCUACAGAACUUGGGGAGCAGGUACUGUCCGACUGUGGUAGCAGUGAAUAGGGAGGUUCUUCUGACACAGGAUGUGCUGAAUUGCUGGUGUCUGCCUCAAGUUGCUGGCCCAUCUAACCCCACAGCCUCCGUGAACAGAGCCAAGCCACCUUCACCAGGCUUUAGAGAAGAAAAUAGCAUCUGAGAGAAGUGAGGAUGAUGAGCAGGGAGCCUCCCUUGAGCCUCCAUCAUGGAUGGAGGACACUACACAGCAAAAGUGGUGAUUUUAACAGACGGAAGUGGGUGGAGCUUGGGUUAUGUUGGUCAUCCUGUCACUCUGAUCUCUUCUUUCCUGAGCUAACAGAGAGAGAGAGAGAGAGAGAGAGAGAGAGAGAGAGAGAGAGGAAGAGAGAGACAUAAACAUGUAUAUGCAUAUGUGCAUGUGUAUGCAUCUGUGUAUGUGUAUGCAUAUGUGUGUGUGUAUACAUACAUGGUGCUUGUCUGGUGGAGAAACAGAAGAAAUCACAAACCAAUCAGGGACAAGGACUUCUGCCUAGCAAAACCACUCAGUAUAAUGUAUCAGAAAUGUAGCAGCGGACAGGAAGGCCCUGUGACACUGGGUGUGCUGAAUUGCUGGUAUCCAAGUCACCAUGAAGUCUUCUGUCUUCACAAACAGAAUCACUUUACCUCAUUGGUCCCAGUAUUUUAGGAAGACUUUUUUUUUUGCUGACACAAUGGAGAGGGAAAAUACAGAUCUACACAUAACCAGGAACUUUUCAAAGAGCCACCUCCUGGUGGGCCUGGCUAUCUUGCAGUGGAUUACCUAAGAAACAAGAAAGCAAGAAGUGGAUCCCUGCAUGCUCUCAUUGUACCACACCUGGUCAGACAGCUCAGGGAAGUGCAGUGAGACAGAGCCUCAGGUACAGACCAGGCAAUAGCUCCCAGGGCUGGCAAGUCCUCCUGGUACAUGAGAAGGGAGGAGUUGAGCUGAGCUGGGAGGAGUUGGGAUUGACUGGUUUUGCCUUUUCCACAACGUUGUUUGUAAAUCGUCCUCUGUCUGGUCCGUGAGAUCUUUAUCUCAGGGAGCAAACACUGAACAUGGCAGAUCCAUGCCUGUUUAUGUGUAUAUAUCUGCAUAUGUAGACAGAUGAGGAACAUCUUCUUUGGUAUGUCAAAUUGCUCAUGGAAAUGCUUGGUAGCAGUGAAAGUUUGAAAAUAUUAAACGUUUGAGUGGAAUUAUAGAUGGCAGUGAGGGAGGUAUUAAAAGUGACACAAGGAAUCACACUCGUUUGAGCACUCAGGAGGUGCCAUCAUUAUUUUACUGAAGGUCUAGUGAUGGAACUGUCUGUCUGGUGAGUGCUUUCUUCCUUGUUCACAGAUGACACAUUCUCUCUGAGUCCUCAAGUGGGGCCAGGCAGCUCUCAGGGGCAUCGUUCCCCUAUUCACGAGGGUUCCGCACUCUAAACCAGUCAUCUUCCCCAAAGUCCUCACAUGCACUAGGGUUUGACAUGACUUUUCAGUCAACACUGACCCUUAGAACACUGUGAGCACAGAGUGCUUUGCAAGGUUGGUAAAGCCACUCGAGUCAGAUCUCCAAGCUCACAAGCCUUUGCUGUUGCCACUGCAUAGCAAUGAAAUAGUUUUCACCUUACAUCUCAUAUUAUAUAAGUUCCCUAAAAUAUUUUGUAUCUUAGAAACGCUACAUAUCUUAGACCUCCUCAGUCACUCUGUCAAAAAAAAAAUCAGAGUGUAACUCUAACAACGCCGAGUGCUUUCUUAAGAAUUGGCAUUCAUAGAGUCCAUAACUCCCGAAACUGUUUGAAUUGCCACCAUUGGGUUUAGGUAUACUUUCUUUUGGAGCAGAAAUAUUUACACUUUUUUUUUUGGUAAAGAGCCAGACAGCACAUAUUUCAGAUCCUGUAGACUAAGUCUACUUUUGCAGUGUAAGCCACAGUUGGUGUGUGGACAAUGAACUUUGCUGUGUCUCAUUGAAACUGUUUACCAAAGUAGGUGGGUUUUGGGGUUGACCCCUGGCUGCAUUUUUGCCUGUUACUGGCUCCUGAUAAUUAGCAGUUAACUUCAGAAAACAGGGGGAAUAUGGACAAUUCCUGCUUAUUUCUUUAAUGCCCGAUAAUGCACAAGUUACAGGGCGGCUCAUUUUUGUACAUAGUGAGUGGUGAACGGUGGACAGAGCUGGUAAGGCAUUCCUAAUGGAGCAAACAGCUCACACAUGGGGUUUCAACACAAGGCAAGUUUAUGAUUUAAGAUGGGAAGGUAGCUUUAGAAGCUGUCUUCUGCUCUGGCAGGCACUCCCCUUUCACCGCUUUGGCUUCUCCUUCUUGGAUCCAUGGAGACGGAGAAAGACAACUCCCAAGGGAAGAAUGAAGGAGAGAGGUGAGCGUUGAGUAAUGCAGACUCAAGUGCUCUGCCAGGACUUCUGCAAGUGUUGGGCCCUUAGUCCUCACACCUGUGGGCAUCAUUGCCUGCAUCUGCCUAAAAGCCUUUGGCACAGGUGCUGGAUCCUGGGCCUGCUCCCAUGGCUAUGUUUCUGGGGUCACUGGAGGCCGAGUUUCCACAUUCUUGCCCAAAGCCAGCUCUGGGCUGGGCAUCUGAUGAGCUGAGUGCUUUUGAUCUCUGUGCCUGGCUGAGCAUCCCUGGCCAUGGCGCUUUCAACUUUCCAGCUCUUGUAUUGGUCCACAAGGGAUGCUGUUUUCAUCAUUGCGGGGAUGAGCCUAGUAGAGGCUCAGCACCAAACCCAGUCACCUUCCUGCUGUCAGGCAACUGUCAUCACCUCUACCUCCCACCCCAGGCCUUCUCUCCCCAGCCUGUCAGGAGGCUGGCCAGCUCCUUGGGAAGGUGAGAGAGGAAAUUGGGAGGCUAGAGGGACUGGAGAGAGCCACCAUUGCCUCUCUCGCUCUGCAUCUAAUGGAAACAACACUCCUCUGGCACAGGAAAGCUGGCUGCAGCCUAGGCUCAGCUGCACAUCCUCAUGGGGUACUGCAUAAGUGUCAUUUCCCUCCCUGCCCCUCCGGUGGCUCUAUCCCCAUCAGAAUUCUUAUGGUGGCUCCUCUCACCUGUGUAAGGGAGAGAUGUUCUUGCUGCCAUUACUACCUCGUGGUGUAGUUAUUAAGGCCACUUGAGUUAUUAAGUACCCCUUGAGAGCAACCUCUUCCUCCCUCAAAGAAGCAAAGCAGAGUCCAGGGCUUGUCUGCUUGUGGAACUCUGAAUUCCAGAGCUUCUGAAAUCACAGACUUCUGGGGUCACCCUUGGAGUUUCUACUUUGAUUAUCUGGGGUAGGUCUGGAGAUGUUGCACUAAAAAUAUUAGUCUAUAUUAAAUAAUCCUCUAAAAGAAAUUCUGCUAUGUGAUUGUACGGUAGGGUGACUACAGAGAAACAAUGAUGUAUUGUUGUGUAUUUCGGAUUUAGCAAAAAGGAUUUUGAAUGUUUUUUUUUCUGUAGACAAAUGAUACAUUUUCGAGGAGAUAAAUACAUUUCCCUUGAUUUGAACAUUACACAGUAUAUAUGUGACCGGAGUUUGAUCCCUGGGACCUUCAUGUUAGAAGAAGAGAACCAGCUCUUAUAAGGUGUCUUCUAAACUUCACAGACACACUGUGUGCAUGUUCAUGUGUGUGCACAAAAAUAAGUUAAGGUAAAAAAUUAAGUUAAAAGUUAAAGACAUUUGAUUUUAUUGAGGUAUAAUUGAUAUUUUAAAAUGCUCUGCAGUAUUUAAAGUGAUGAUUUGGAUCUAUGCACAUAGAUAUGACAUUACCACAAUCAAGGUGUUAACAGAAGCAUGUAUAUUGGAAUGAUUACAUAACCCAAUCCAUCAAUCUUGAGAUUUCCCAGAGUGAGCAGUGCAGUACUGUCUGCUGGCACGGUGCUGCAAAUAAAACUUUAGUAAAUUUUUUUGUGUUACGCAACAGGAAGUGUAAGGCCACUGAACACCAACGUCACAUUUUCUCAUUCCCAGUCCUUGUCAGUCACUAUUCUCCCCUCUGUUUCACUGACUUUGGCUACUUUAGAGACCUCCGAUAAGUAGAAUCACAUAGCAUUUGCUCUCUUGGCUUAUUUCACUCAGCCCAGUGUCCUCUGGUUGGAUCCAGGGUGUUCUGAACCAUAGGCUUUAGCUCUUUUCAGCAAUAUCUUACUGUUUGCACAGCCCACAUUUUCUUUUAAAACCCACAAAGGUACUGUCAUUCUUUCUCCUCUGACAUCCAGCAGGGAGGCUUGCUAUGCAGCCCAGGCUGUUUCCAACUCUCACUCCUCCUGCCUUUGCUCCCCAAGGAUGGAGAGUCCCAGUGGACCCCACCAUAGAGGAAGUCAGUGGAGGCUGCCUGGAGUGAUGCUUUGGGCAGGAUGCUAACACUACUUCAUUCUCACGAGCUCUCUCCAGUACUAAGGCACAUACGCAUGGUCAGGUGUGGGUGAGGUGUACAUAGCAGAUGUCUGCCACUCUGACUGUGAAGACUCCAUUAUGUGCUGUUUCUGACGAAUGCUGGAUUUAUCUUUACAGUGACAUUGUGGACUUCUAUAUAAAAAGGUUUCCUAUAAAGCAUAUGCUAAUUCACAAAAUAAGGGGUUUCACUACAACAUUUCCCACACGGAUUUGUGCAGUAUUUUGGUAGUGGUGUUAGUUACUCUCCUUGUUAGUGAUAAAAUACCUAAUUAAAGCAGCUUAAGGAAGGAAGAGUGAAUUUUGGCUCAUGCUUUCAGGGUAAAGUCCGUCUUAUUGGGGAAGCCAUGGCAUAGGAACUUGAGGCAGCUGGUCAAAUCAUGUCUGUAAUCAGGAAGCAGAGAGCAAUAAGUCCUAGAGCUUGGCUUGCUUUGUCCUUUUUAAUUCAGUUCUUGACCCCUGUCCACAGAAUGGUGCUGCCCACGUUUAGGGUGUACCGUCAUACCUCAACUACACAAUCCCUCUCAGGCAUGUGGCUUCGCUAUUUAGGUGAUUCUAGAACCUGCCAAACUGACAAUAUGGCUCACUUUCACCAUCAUAUUCACUCCCAUAUUGUCCUCUGUGCUGGAUAGUUUAUGUCAACUUGACCUAAGCUGGAGACAUCUGAGAAGAGGAGACCUCAAAUAAGAGAAUACCUCUAUAAAAUCAGGUUGUAGUCAGGCUUAUAGCUAAGACAAGAUGGUACCAGGAGUGGGGCUUCUUGUGACAGAUCUGACCAUGUUCUUUUGGGGAGAAUUGUGGAAGGACUUUGAAACUUGUGCAAGAAAAGCCAUUGAGUGUGUGAUACUUGGAAGAUAGGACUAUUGAAAGCAAUGCAGAUGACAGAGACCUGGUGUGUGAAGUUUCAGAGUGAAGCAGACUUUACCUGGCCUUUUGAGGGGUGGGGGUGAAGAAUCUUUGUUGCUGGUUAGCUGGGGCUGUGAUUACCAAGAUAGCAGAACUUCUAAAGUAUAACUUUUCCUUUGUUGGGAUACUUGAGCCCACAGUUGAAAUUUGAAUUUUUAAAAGAGAUUGGCUAUUUUUUAAAGAGACUGAACUUUCAAUGUGUCUGAAUUUGUAAAGACUGCGGGAUUUUAAAAGUUAUUUAUUUUUUAAUGCGAGCUCUUGUGGAAGCGUGAUGAAAGGAAAGGUUGUGGUUUAAAGGUGAUCGUGUGUCAAGUUGACAAGGGGUCAAUUGUGCUCGGUAGUUUUAUGUCAACUUGACAGAAGCUGGAAUCAUCUAAGAGGAAGGGAUCUCAAUUAAGAAACUGCCUCCAUAAUAUUGGGUUGUAGGCAAGCCUGAAGGGCAUUUUCUUAAUUAGUGAUGGAUAGGGAAGUACCCAGCCCACUGUAUGUGAUGCCAUCCCUGGACUGGUGGUUCUGGGGUCUAUAAGAAAGCAGGCUGAGCUCCCAUGAGAAUCAAGCCAGUAAGCAGCACUCGUCCAUGGCCUCUGCAUCAGCUCCUGCCUCCAGGUUCCUGCCCUGGUUAAGUUCCUGUCCUGACUUCUUAAUUAACCCUGACACGGAAGUGUAAGUCAAAUAUACCCUUUCCUCCCCGACUUGCUUUUUUGGCCAUGGUAUUUCACUACAACCUGACCAAUACAACCUCUUUUGCCCACUUCCAAUUUUUGCUGAGCCCCUUUUACUUUGCAACUAGCUCCCCUUCUACUUCUAUGUCUUUUCUUUCUUUUUUUCUUUCUUUCUUUGAUGACUCAAUGAGUUUUAUUAGGGUUGUUUAUGAAAGCAUGGGCAAGACAUUAUUUGUAGAGACAUAGGUGAUUUACCAAUGUCUAAGCUACUGAAGAAAAUCCUUCUCCUUCCAUAAGCAGUCAUUAACUUCUUAUCAAUCAUUCUUUCUACAGAACCAAUAAUUUUUACUGCUUUAUCUUCAAAUGACACUUGACCUUGAGCAAAUGACUGAAACCACCUCCCCCAACAGUCCAGAGCUCACAAUUAGCAUAAUGGUCCUUAGAUACAAUUUUUCCUCAAUAAUAACAAUUUUCAAAUACCAGAACAUUGCCCCAAGAUAUUUAUUGGUUUCAAUGUAAUGAACACAGACAUGGUGCAGUUUAAAAUUUAAUCUGCAUUACUAAAUUUCAUCCAUCAUUUUCUUAAGUCUAGGCCAUCCAAAGUAAUAAACCAGGCCUCAGCUUGUGCUGUUUGCCAGUUUCCCUGGUGUAGACACCUCUGCUGGGCUGAUUAUUGCAUUAAGCCACUUAAUAGAUAGUUAAAAGAGGUGGACAGUGGCUCACCCCAUGUCUGUUUCCACCAGGCUUAUGGUAGUGUCAAAGCACAACUUACUAUAACUGAGUUACAGAGUGCUGGGUCUUGGUAUCUGCUACCUUUGUUUUCAAUAUGUCACAUCCUGAUGAAACCUGUCGUAGCAGAAAACAUCAUCAGGAAUGAAGUAUAAUAUAUUUAGUAUCCUGAAACCACCAAGCCAGAACAACUUAGCCUAGCCUACCUUAAAUGUGCCCAGAAGAUUUCCGUUAACCACAUGAGCAAAGUAUCUAAUAGGAAGCUUCUCUUAUAACACCUGCAAUUUAUUUAGCAUUUUAUAUCAAAAGCCAAAAAAAAAGGAGGAAAAAAGGAAAGAAAAAAAAAGGAAUGGUUGUCUGGGUAUGAUUUCAUAUGUCACUGGGAAGUAAAACAGUUUUAGUUAGGACAUAAUUUAUUCAUCAAUGACGAUUGUGUUUAACACAUGGCUUUCAUAAUUAAUGAGCUUUUAGUAAGUAUCUCUCAUGAGCUAUCUGCAGUAGAUUGCUGGAAUCACAAUAGUCCAAUAAAGGUAGUGCUUACAAGCUCUACACAUGUGUUUGUGUAUGUAAAUGUAUAUGUGAAUAUAAAUGUACAUGUAAAUAUGUAUGUGUAUGUAUAUGUAUAUAUGUGUAUGUGUAGGCAUGUGGGCAAGAAUGCAUCUGCCAUGCAUGUGUGUAGUGCUCACUGGGUUUUGUGUAGUAGACGGUGUUUUGUGUAGUAGACGAGACUGUGUUUUGUGUGGUAGACUGUGUUUUGUGUAGUAGACUGUGUUUUGUGUGGUAGACUGUGUUUUGUGUGGUAGACUGUGUUUUGUGUGGUAGACUGUGUUUUGUGUAGUAGACUGUGUUUUGUGUGGUAGACUGUGUUUUGUGUGGUAGACUGUGUUUUGUGUGGUAGACUGUGUUUUGUGUGGUAGACUGUGUUUUGUGUGGUAGACUAUGUUUUGUGUGGUAGACUGUGUUUUGUGUAGUAGACUUUGUUUUGUGUUGUAGACUGUAUUUUGUGUAGUAAACAUUGAGGCCAGACCACUGUGUGGCUUUUCUUUAAGGCUCACCCUGCAGCCAACAUGAAUUCACUGUUACCCAAACUUCCUGUAACAGAGUGGGAAUGAUUGAUUCUUCUGAAGAGGUUCUAGUCAGUGGAACAGUGAAUGGACAUAGUCAUUGAAGCAAAUAUCCUUUUAUUAAAAAUAGACUCUUUUCUCAUACAAUAUAUCCUGAUUAUAGUUUCCCUUCCCUCUGCUCCCCGCAGUUCCUCACUAUGUCCCUUCCCAUCCAGAUCCACUUCCUUUCUGACUCUCACUAGACAAGAACAGGCUUCUAAGAGAUAACAACCAAACAUAACAAGAUAAAAUAUCGUAAGAUAAAACAAAGUCCAUCACAUAGACAUUGGAGAAGACAAAAGAAGGAAAAGAGCCCCAAGAAGAGGCACUUACAUCAGAGAUCCACUUGUUCACACACUCAGGAGUCCCACAAAACUACUAGACUGAAAGCAUGUGUUUCUCCAGACAGAAGAAUUGUUUCCUGGAAUAGAAUGCUCUGGGGUUAGGGAAGCCAUAUGGGACUUCAAACAGGCAGCUCAUCUUGUGCACAAGUUGAAAGAGAGAUGGGGACUGUGUGAAAUGAGUAAGAUGAAGUGGAAAACUGGUUUCUUUGGAAAGUCAGUUAUGUCAAACGAUGCUUUGCCAGGGCACACAGGUGAAAGGAUGUUUUGCUAAAGCAGACCUGUGAAUGGAUGCAUGUUCUGUGGGGGCCUGGCUGUUUCUGCUGGGUCACGCCAUCGCUGCUGAUUCCUGUUUUCUAUCCUGACACUACUGAAUUGCAAUGCUGGUUAUAUCCUGACAGACAACACAGAUUGGAUUUGCUCCAAAGGACUAUUUCUAAACAGGUCCACUUCCUCCGUAUCCUAAUAACCUUUCUUUCCCACUACCUCUGGUGGGUGGUGAGCUAGAAGGGAGGUUAAAGGAUUUAAGAAUCCUUAUUAAAAGUAGAUUUUUGAUGGGGUUGGGGAUUUGGCUCAGUUGUAGAGCGCUUGCCUAGCAAGCGCAAGGCCCUGGGUUCGGUCCCCAGCUCCAAAAAAAAAAAAAAAGAAUAGGAAAAAAAAAGUAGAUUUUUGGAAAAACUCAAAGUCUACUGUAAGGCAGCAGCGUUCUGGAAAGCUCUGUGACUUCAGGCUAUAACUUACUCAAAGAGGGGGUGAUAAGAUGUUUCUGAGUAUUUUAAGUCUCAGGAUUCAAAACAUGGGAAUCCUACUUGGGUGAGGAUCCUCCAUGGAUAGGGGAGUCUAAGAAGGGCUGACCUUUUUGAAGGGUAUUUUGUUGGUAUGAAGUAUAGCUUCCAGGGAAUCAGUUUGAGUUCUUAACUUACCAGCCACCAUUCUUCUCUAAGGAUGUCUUACCUUCAGGCCAAAGAAAGGCCCUUAAACUUAGGGUCUGCAGGGGUUCAGAGGCAUGUCCCUACAGAUGUCUAGAGAAAUGCAGUGCAAACACAGGGACCCCAGGCUAAUUUUUUCCACUGGGAAAAAAGAAAGAAGAACAAAGGACAUUGGGUUGGCAGUGGGCAAGUAUUGCUGCAGAAUUUUGAAUGCACUUCUUCAGAGGUGAAAGGGAGAAAGUUUGAAUAGAACCAGAUGUGUUUUAUCUGUUCCAGAGUAAUGACUGGUUCCUCGGGUUCAGUCAGGGUCAUGGGUGAAGGAGAGAAUGCCAGGCUUCCUGUGCACUGGCUGUUCUGAUGCUCUCCUUAUCUGGAUUGACCAGAAGUUGGCCUGGAGCUAUCUGUCUGCUUUUAGCAGAGUAGGGAUGAGAACCUACAGUAUGCUUGUAGACCAUAUGAUAUGGAGACAGUCUCCUAAAUAUGCUGGUCAUAUUGCCAGAUGUUCCCACAUCAGCCUUCAACUACUCUUUAUAGUAGGUUAGUGGUCCUUAGUUCUUUGGCCUAAAGUUCCAUGAGUUGGCAUGGGGCAGAGCUGGACUCUGUGCCAAUGUCCUUUGUGCUGUGAAUGCCUGACAUAUCUGGCAUUGGCUGAGCAUGAAUCACAUAGGCAGUCACAACUAGCUGGACCUGGGUGGGGUGGCGUCUUGUUCCCAGCCUAUCCCUGGUGGCUCUUGGCAAAGGUUGAAAGUAUGUAACUGCAUGUAUGUGUCUCACCACCCUCAGAGUGGGCAUUUUAAAAAAUGCUUUCUACAUCACAGAGCAGUUAGAUAAUUUUUUUUCCUGAGUUUUCAUAGAUUAUCAUUUCCAGUCAGGGCUAUGCAAAUUAUAAGCUGGUAAUCUCAUUGUGUGGUACACCUUCCCCUUGUCUAGUCCUGGUGCUGGUGAACUUGUCUCCCUGCUGAGGAGAGUGAGCCAGGUAUGGAUGGCGGAGAUAGAACUGUACUGUGGGUGCUUGCCUCACUGUGGCAUUGAAAGAGAAGCUGCAGGUCAGAUCAGGCUCCAGCCCUGUGGCAAAUGGACAGCUCUGCUCUGUCUACUUGAAAAUUUCCCAUUAAGAUUUCAUUCCUUUUUAGUUCUUUCUUUUAAACAUUAUUUUAUUUAUUUACAUUCCAGCUAUUGCUCUUUUGGGCCCCCCAUCCCACAGUUACUCAUCCUAUUCCUCCUCCCCUUUGCCUCUGACAGAGUGCUCCCCUAUCACUAGUCCUCCCCACUAUCCUCUCCAGGAAGUUCUCUGCUGUAUAUGUGCCAGGAGCCUUGGACCAAACUGUGUAUGCUGCCUGGUUGGUGGCUCAGUCUCUGGACGUUCCCUGGGGUCCGGGUUAGUUGAGGCUGCUGGUUCAUUCCUUUUCUAAAUAGAGGACUUCUCCUACUUAAAGGAACAGUGGUAUUCAAAGGUUCCUUUGGUUUUGAAAAAUUUACAUUUAAUUCUUUAAAGUUGCAUCAAAGGUUCAAUAGACCAAUCUUCUGUGUUGGGGUAAAUACUUGGGGGGCAUUUAUAGGAAUUUCUCUAAACUUAAUAAACCUUUGUAUUGAUUUUUUUGUGAGUUAUACAUCUUGCAUCCCUGUCCCUCUUAUCUUCCUGUCUUGUGUCCUCCCUCUGCUUUUACAACCUCCCCACCAAAAGAAAACGAAAAGAAACAAAAUAAAGAAAACAUCUCAUUGUGGAAGCUGUAUUGUGUCAUAGCGUGUCACAGUGUGUCAUAGAGUGUCACAAUGUGUCACAGUAUGUCAUAGAGUGUCACAGUGUGUCACAGUAUACCCCUUUGCCCAAACGGCUUUACUUGGAAAUGAUCACUGCAGGGAGUCACUGGUCUGGUUUGAGGCCUCUGGCUUGUGCUCCACCAUUGAUACUGGAUCCUCACCAGGACUUCUCUCAGUUACCUUGUUGUUGCCCAGUGUCAUGGAGAUCCUACAGCUUUGGGUCAGCAGGACUGGCCCUUUCCCACACUCUAGCAGUCCAUAGAUGAGGUAGAUUUUGGGGUGGGCCACCUCAAAGCCCUGGAUCUGGGCCCGGGUGGUAGCUAGGUUGGUCAGCCUGUCAGCUCUCCCACACUCUGCCACCAGGUGAGCUCUUCUGCACUGCUCACUCAGUGCUGCAGCUGGCUGGAGGCAGGCAGGGUCAGUUUUCCUGUUCUCAUGCAUUGAGGCCUGGCUCAUCCACAUCCCCACCACCAGAGCCAGCUCUAUCGAGCUGCCCAGUUAGGGUGUGGGGCCCACUCUUCAAGUGCUGCAACAGGUGAGGGGGUAGAGACAGCUCUCCUACUCUCACGACUCCGAGGCCAACUGUCCCGACUACCACAUGUGGCAAUGGGUGAAGUGGGGAAUCACCCCUGUGCCUAUUCCACUGUCAGCAGAUGAUAGGCAGGGCCAGCCUACCCACACCCUUGCCAUCAGGGCCAACUCUACUGUGCUGCCCAGGCGAGAUGCAGCCCCACUCUCCCAAUUCUUGCAGCAGCUGAAGGUCAGAGACAGCUCUGCACGAGCUUUGGACAUCUAUGUGGUCCCAGGUGGUUGCCCAGACCGGGGACAUCCACAAGGUCUUUAGUGUUAAUAGGAGCUAGGGACAUCAACACAGACCCCUGCUGCUGUAUGGCCACAGACUCAGACAUGGCCCCCAGCAGCAUGAUCCCUCUCUACCCUCCUGUCUCCUCUCUUCACAAUGCUCAAACUGUUCUGUUUCCCUUCCUUUUUCAUUUGUCCAGCACAUAUGUGCACAUCAUGGUGGUUCUUGCUGUGGGCAGGGCCUCUGUGCAUCAUCUACAGCCCACCUGCUCUUCGUGGUCACGGGCAGCCUCUGUGUGUCCUCCACUCACCUAAGCUGCUGUGUGGCAUUGCAGCAGGUGGCAGCUGUGUCUCUGGGUGUUUUCUCCAAGCCUGCUCAGAGUGCUCUGAGAACAUCUGGGUGUUUGGGUGUCCUCUGCCUGCCCGUGCUGCGUGGUGUGGCAACCUCUGUGUGAAAUUUCUCUAAACUUCCAAAGCUGUAUUUGUAAGUUGAAUAUUUUAUCUUAUUUUAAAGCUUUAACAACAUCAUGCUUCCAGCUUAUUAAAUAACUCAUAAAUAACAUAAAUAAACUUACACAUGUAACGAUUAAUCAACUGUUAUGACUGUAUAUAAACCUGGGAAAGUUCCCAUUAAAUACAUACACGGGAAUCUCAACCAAGCACUUUUAGGCAAACACCCUGCCACGGAGCUAGUCCAGUCCUCUGACCAUGUGUUUCUAAUAAGAAUUUUCAAUGCAGGUAUAUUUUAUUAUACUCAAAGUUCUCUUAAAUAUUAUAAAUAUCCUUGCUACUGACUGUAUAGGUUAUUAAUGCAUACAUAGUUAUAGUUAUACUCUUUUUUUUCUGCUAGGCAUUUUAUUAUUAAUUCUAAAUAUUCCCAGAGUUAAGAUCAGACUGCCAUCUCAUGCAAUUUAGAGAGAAUUCAUGAGGCAGGCCAGAAUUCUUGUCAUCCUUAUUUAAGGUCGACACUGGGAACUUCAUGCUGUCAUGAAUGUUGGUUCUUUCACACGGGUCUGCACAGCCUGGUAUGGCUACACAACUGUGGACCACCAGCACUUGUCCUUUGUGAUAGGACUGGCCGUGUGGAGAAGGUCAAGAACUAAGGGCAUCCCUUCUUGUUUAUUUCUAUCCAUUGAGCCUUAUUUAGUAUGGUCAUGGAAUUGUUCCUCUAUUUGAGGCUGCUACGUGACUUGAUUUUACUUUUCUUUGCCUAGGCUAUAUUAAUUUCUUUUCCAUGUAGCUCCAGUGACCUUUGACCUUGAUGGAAUUCUAUCUUCUUUCCGCAUUCUUCCCGACCAGUAUAGGACCACACAGCUCAGACAGUUAUUAAAAUGAUAUCCAGUUGCAUACUGCAAACCUCACAGCUUCUAAGGGAAAGCUCCUGACAAUUUUACAAAGGCCUCUAUUGUUUAAAAAUAUGUUUUUAAACAUAACACUGUCUGGUGGAAUCUUCAAGCCUCAGAAGACAGAACAAAUAUUUGGGGGGGCACCUGCUAGGAGCCAAGUGCUUUGUGUACAUUGUUUCAUUUUGUUCUCCAACACUCUGUCAAAGUGUUUAUUUUAACACCCCCAAUUCAAAUGAGGAAGCUGGGGCCACAUGGCACACAAAUGGUGGAGCUGGGACUAGAUUUUGGAAUAGUCUUCAAAAGGCAUACUCCACCAUUGUGCCAAGGUUUUUAUCACCAGACUCUUCAAUCUCCUAAUUUCUUUACUGUGACCACCGUAACUUCCUAUUGUCAACCCGGUCUUUCCAGGGGACAACCAGGCUCAAAAGUUGUUACUUUGGCUCCUUCCUCUCAUAUUCCUUAAGCCACCAAAAGACUGGUUAUGAUUUCCGGAGAUUUUCACGAUGGUAGCAUAUCCAGGGCAAGCCACAGCCUUGGGUUGAUAUUGCACACUCACCUGAGGGUGGCAAAGCUCAUGUCUUCCCUGAUCAGAUCAUCAUGCCGUCUCUCUCUCUGGGAAGUGCUUUAAUGAUGUCAUUCUCUGUCCCCCUCUCUGCCUGUUCUUCCCUCUGCUAAUGUCAUGUCCACUUGGUGUGUAGUCCUAGUGUGGGUCAGAACAUGCACUCUUUUUGUUAAAAGGCUGGGAACUGUGGAAUGUCUGGGCUAAAGGUUGGCCAAGGGGGUGAAUUUUCUUUGCAGUGUAAUGCAGGACAGGGCCAUAGCUCUUUUUUUCCUCUAGUGAUCAAGCUAAUGUUUAAAGCAUAUCUGAUGUGAAAACCCAGUGUUACUCACAGGGGUUGGAGUCAGACCAAAAAAGUGUUGGGGCUGGGGUCCACUCUGAUUUCUAUCUUGUAUGGGGAAUUUGGGUCAAAAUAUUGAUUUUAUCCACUUGGGCUAUUAUAAAGUAUCUUAUAGAUUCAUUAAUUACAAACAACAUCAACCCAUGUCUUAUAGUUCUAGAGACUGAGAAAUCCAGUCAGUAUUACAGUUACCACCAUAUUGGAUAUCUACAAAUUCAAUAUCUAGUCGGGGCAUUAGUCUUUAUGUCGUGGUCUGUGCCUCUCUCUGCAUCUUGGAACAGGUAAACAGCUCUUAGGACCUGUCAUCUCUCAAGGACCCCACCUUUUGUUUUUGUGAGCCACUACAUGGGAACUGGGAAUUGAACUCAUGACCUCUGGAAGAGCAGCCAUGACCACUGAGCCAUCUCUCCAGCCCCCCACCUUUUGUUUUUAAAAUGACAUGUCUUUUAAAUCUAUUGAUUAUUUUUAUUUAAAAUAUAUUUGCUCAUAUUCAUAACCCCCUGCUUUCCCUUCUAACCCUUCUUGGAGCCUCGAUCCACUUCCAACUUUAUGUCCCCAUGUCCUUUAAAAUCCAUCAGUAUCAGAUUGUAUUUUGCAUGAGUGUGGAAGUCCCACAUUUUAGUACUACCCCUCUGGGAGGUAGGUUUCAAUACAUGAACUUUGGGGAGGGGCAUAAACAUUCAAAUGAGGGUAACUGCGAAUUAAGGUAUUUUCCCAACAGAAUUUUUAUUUUAUACUCUAUAAAAAGUCUUUCACACUUACUUUGAGAUUAAAAAAAUUUAAAGCUCGGGGAUGGAGAGAUAGACCUCUGAGAGAGGACCCAGGUUUGGUUCCAUAAUGGUGGUUCCGGGGGAUCUGACACCUUCUUCUGGACUCUACGGGCACCAGGCAUGCAUAUGGUGCACAGGCAUACAUGGAGAAAGAACACUCAUAUGUGAAGAAUAAAGUAAGUAAAUUUAAAAAGUUAUAAAUCACAGAUCAUUCUUGUACACACAUUGAAUAGGAAAAUUAUGAGUGAAGUAGAUUGGAAAAGCUACUUCUGGAAUGUUCUCAAAUUUAGAGACCUGCUUUUCUAGAUUAUGUUUCAAGUUAGACUUAAAAACUACAUUUUCUCAUUUAACCUGGUCUUGGGUGCUCCAUAAAUAAUGGUAUGUUACUGAUACUACAACUGGGAGGUACCCAGGAAUGACUAAGCCCCACCCCACUAAUCACGGUCCGAUCUAGUUUCUAAACUUGCUUAGGCACAAUAUUUGGGUAGGAGUUGUUGACAGCUCUGAUCAAAGUGCUCAGCACCCCUUUGAUGGAUGUCUAAAUCUAGACUUACAUGGGCUUUGAGUCUCAGUUUGAGACCACCUCUCUCAUGUGGUGGGAUGUAUGGGGACCUGGAGAUACCCGUGAUACAGAGAUGUCCAUUUUGAUCUAGGAGAUGCUACCUUACCGGAACAUGAAACCCUGCUUUUUUUCUGGUUUGUUCAUCAAAGGGUGAGCUUGGAGCACUGUAUGUAGCCACAGACCAUUGGACUCGAUUCAUCCUUUGGGCUGGCAUGGAUGUCAGUCACAUAGCCAAGGUCAACAGCUUGAGUAUCAAUUAUGAGGCUGGGUCAGAUAGCCAAAAGGACACAGUUGAAAGGGACUCAGAGAAAAGGUGGAGUACCACUGUUCUCUGGGAGAGAAAGGUAGCCAGCAUUAGUGGCUACAUGUGUCUUGCAGACAAAAGAGCAUUUGGUGAGAUGAUUCACUCCCUUCUCCCGACCACACCUUCUCUUAUCUUCAUAGGAUGCUGAGCAGACAGAGGCAUUUAAACCUGCUGCCAUGGGACCAGUUUCUCUCAUUGAUACUCAGUGUUCUCUCUUCAUUUUGGGAACCAGACAGGGAAGUGGAACUAGAUAGAUAUUAAUGUUGGGAAGAAAUCUUUCCCCUCAACUCAAGAAAGGAAUUAAAGUUCAUGUUGCUAAGUGGCCUUGGGUAACCUUGGCUAAGUUUCUUGCUAAGUUCUGAGGAACAGCUGUUGAGAAAAUACAACAAGCUUAGGGUGAGCCUUGCCAUCUGUGAGCCAAGCAAAUGAAAUGGCCUGGGGAAUUUUAUAAGGCCAAAGAGAUAUGAAUUUGAAGUCAUGCUUCAAAGUGGACAUGACCAUGGGUUCUGGAGACACAGCUAUCUGGGCAUUCUGAUUGGCUUUGUUACUUAUUCUGGAAUUCUGGGGACUUAGCUUUCUCUGACCCUCAGUUCCAAUCCCUAUAAAUGUAUAAUAACAAUAUUCACCUCUCAUGGUUGACUAAGAAGUGUUUGGAUUGAGGGAGGUUUUCAGCCUAGGACCUAGAGGUUCUUAAUCACAUAAUCAAUGAUAUUUCUUAUUAUUGCUGGGAGAAGGAAAGAGAAGAAACAGAUUACUCAGCACAAAACAGACAUUUACCAUAGAAAUUAUUAUUUUAUUCUACUGCCUUUCUCCCAUGGCACAUUUUUAAUAAUACCUAUUAAUUAUGUAAUGCCUACAGUUAGAUAUCUUUCCCAAGAUGAUAUAAGAAAGAACCCACCAAUGGGGUGUGUGUGUGUGUAUACAUGGAAUCAAGUCAGAGAGUAAGGAUAAUUUUAUUAAUUCUUUGGACAUACUGUGAUAGUCCUACAAGCAGGUGAAAUGUAUUACUGUGAUGGUCCAUUUUUUCCAAUUGUCUGGAUUAACAUGUAAGUUAAUAUAUGUUGUUAUAUAUCAAUAUAUUGUUAAUAUGUAUUGUUAUUAUUCUUUGAGAUCUACAAAGGUUGCCAACUUCUUCUUAGAUUGAACUUGAACCAAUAAUGACAAAAAUAUUAUGGUUCUGCCAACAGCAAAAGCAACUGAAUGGAGGUUUCUGUCUAGACCCUGUGGUUUCUACUUGGUUACUAGCCCAUCUGCUAAGGAGAGUGUUCUGGAACUCUAUUAAACCCAUGCCAUUAAGAUGCUGGCAAUACAGUUGUGGGAGCAGGAGAUCAUGCUAGGGGAAAGAACACAAUGAGAGUUUCUUCCAUGCCAAAAAGCCCAUCUUUCCUGGGUAAACAGAACUUUCUUCUGAGGCCAGUGAGGGAAUCUGGAAAUCUACAGUGGGACUUCCACUACAGUUAAAUUCCAGUUUGAUCCAGAGGGAUGAGUCUAUUGAGACUAGAUGAGAGACUUGUGUACCUUAUUUGGAACUUCUGCUAUUUGGAAGUUCUGUUCCAAACUUCUAUUGUUCAUCCCAGAACCCACACAAAUAGCAUUAGAAAAUUCUCAGCAAUCUGGGGUGAUCAAGAAGGCAUGAGCAUGAGCUCAGAAAAUCACAGGGAAAAACUUCAGAGAUGAGCCAAUGUCCUGGUCCCAAUACUUUUUCUACAAAAGAAAUCUAAGAAACACUGAGAUUUUCUGACUGUUGGUUUAGUUCUCUUGUCAGGUCAUAACCUAGUCAUGGGUUGCUGGUAUAUGCAAGAGUAUGAAAGAUCCUUUCUACUACAGCAUGAAGCUGACUGUGAUUAGACCAAUAAAACACAUAUAUAUACACAGCAAUAAUAGUGUCUGAAGCAUAUGUAACAUGUACCAUGGGUGUGAUGGAAGUUGGAGCAGAAGGAGUGGCCUUUUCUUCCUUGAUGGGACAACAAAGCUUUAUACAGAAGGUGGGUUUUCAGCAGCUCCAUGGAAGAUAUGUGUGGUUUGAAUAGGAAGAAUGGAAGGCCACUGUAGUUUAAAUGAUGUGUUUAUAAGAGCAAAGUCAGGCAAGUAAGAGGCCUAUUUGUGAGUCAGUGACAUAGGUACAUAUUAUGCGAUCAUACAGUGUUAGCAUUGGAAGAGGCUGCAAGAGGUGGUAGUCUCAACUUCCUCAUUUUAUUGUGAGAAUAAUGUUACUUGGCUAAGAGUGGCAGACAUAUCUAGACACUUAGUCCAUAGCCUCUCCCCAGUGCAUCCCCUGUCCCCUCUCUAUUCUACACGACUGAACUCAGGGAGGAGUGGUAGAAUAGGAAGACCAUAGAAAAACCCUCAUGAGUGUCAAGAUGUUUGUACAUUGAAAGCCUGUCUGUCAUUGAAGUAGGGCGGUUCAGAGUAAGGCUGUACACCAAGGAGCUGAUGAUGGCAUGUAGGACCUGCGGCCUAGAUUAAAAGAGUAGAUCCAGCCAAUAUGACUCCCCUCAGACUAACUAUAAGAUAGUUGUGAGGCUUGGGCCAGGGUCUACUCAGGCAUCGCUCACCUGCAGCAGCCAUACAGAGAUCAAGUUACGCCCUUCUCUGAGUGACUCCAUGUUGUGUAGAAGUGUGGUUGUUUUCCAUUUUUACAAGCAGUUCCUGAGUUCAUUUUUAGGGUGGAGGAUGCCGAUUUGCAUGUGGGUGGACCCAUUAACACUAUUGUCUAUCUGGUACCACCCAUGUAGCACAAACUUAUAAAUGACUUAUUCCUGGGAGCAGAGUCUACACUGAGCUAUAAAUUUAUCAGGUGAGUUGAGACUGUAGGGGCACCUGGGCUUAUUAAAGUAAUUUUAUGGAAACAAGGCUCAAGAACUUUCCAGACAUACCAAACUAAGGAAAGUGUAGAAUUCUCUUAUUUGAACCCUCAUAAAGUGGUGGACACCUAGUGCUGUGGUGGCAAGUGACGUCACAGCAACCUGUCUUCUGAUACUUGAUGACUACAUCGAAGAUUGAUGUACAAAGAACUCCUGACUGUCCAGGAGGCUUCAGCUAGGCUUGGUCUCCUGCUUUUCUCAUGGCCUACUUGACUGCCCUCUGUCUAUCUAUCUGCUCACCCAUCUGGAUUUGAAUCUGCCAUUUUUGCUGUGACCCAGUUCUCCAACUUCAUGUCUUUGCGCUCAACCCCGACUCUUGCAGCCAUAGCAGGAACUUUUUCCCUAUGACUUGCUUGGUUUUCUCUUAGUUCACUUCUGACAUCCUUUUUUUUUAUUGGAUAUUUUAUUUAUUUACAUUUCAAAUGUUAUUACCUUUCCUGGUUUCCCCUCCGAAAAACCCCCUCUCCCCUCUCCCCUCUCCAUCCUCCUACUUCUAUGAGGGUGCUCCCUCACUCACCCAUCCAUUCUCACCUAACCACCAUGCCACUCCCCUAAACUGGGGCAUUGAGCCUUUAGAGGACCAAGGGCCUCUCAUCUCAUUGAUGCCAGAGAAGGCCAUCCUCUACUACAUAUGCAGCUGGAGCCUUGGGUCCCUCCACGCGUACUCUUUGGUUGGUGGUUUAAUCCCUGGGAGCUCUGGGGGAUCUGGUUGGCUGAUAUUGCUGUUUUUCCUAUGGGAUUGCAAACCCCUUCAACUCCUUCAGUCCCUUCCCUAACUCCUCCUUUGGGGUUUCCUUCUCAGUCCAAUGGUUGGCUGCAACCAUGUAGGUUCUUGUAUUCAUUUUGUAAAACACACACACACACACACACACACACACACACACACACACACACACACAAGUGCUGAGUGAUAUGAGACUUAUUACUAGAAAUUAAGAUCAGAGUAAAAGAACCUGCAUUCCCCUUGGCCAGAUUACCAAGGCAGGUGGGAUAAUCUGGCAAAUUGCUGCCCUUGAAACCACUACAUCUUAUGACUCUAUUGUUAUUCAAUAAAUUUCAACAUUAUGGAAAGACAUGAACAUGUUAGUCUAUGUUUCUCACAUAGUACCCUGAUGAAAAUCCCCUUUCCUUUGUCUAUGGAUAGUUUCAUACAUGCUGUAAAGGAAGUGGCAGGUAUUAUAGUAUGAAUAUUUGUGAACCUGCCAUCAUAACUUCCUCCGUAGACAUUUACUAAGCACCCUAAGCUACUCAGGGCUACAGGAAACAUAGCCCAUAUAAAGGACACACGCUAACUAAGAGGCUGAUCCUUUCCCUCUUCCCUGCCACACACAAGAAUCAGAUGGCUUGAGUGUAAACAAUACCAAACAUUACCUACAUGGUGUGGUAUCUCCACAUUCUCUAUGAAACUUAUAAAAGGAUACCAACUGCCUUGUGGGCCUGAACUCUUUUCAAAUGCUCCACCACAUUUUCUAUAUAUGGCUAAUAAUUUUCUAAUCCCCAGAGACAGCCUGUUUUGGUGUCUUUCUAGGACUCCAAAAUCUAAAACCUUAAAAUAACACAGAGUAGGGAUAUAGACAAGAUAGCUGAAACGAAAUGACAAGUGGCUCUGGGAGAGUAAGGACACGGCAAAGUCAAAGAUGAUGACGGAAACAGAGUUGACCAACAACUCAUGGGAAAAAACCCCCAGCUUUUAUGAUUUCUUAGGACACUUUAUUUGUUUCUCUUAACUUUUGCCGCUGUUUCCCGGGGCUCUAUACUCAGUAAGUCUUUCAUUUGGCCAGAUGUUUUUGAGCACUGUGGAAGAUCUUCCAUACUCCCUCACCAAUCAAUCUGGUACUUCAGGUGUCUUUUCAGGGUCUGCCUCCCUGAACUACUCUUUGCUAGAAUUGUUGAAGGGAAUGGAGGUGAAAUCUGAACAGCUUGGUUAUUGAAAAGAAAGGAAGCCGAUUGUCUGGGAGGGUGUUGAAAAGUCAGCAAGAUUUGAAAUAGGAGGGGGAUCAAAGUGUCUUGGGAAGAGAGAAGGCGGACCUGUGCACACAGAAGCUAGUGGCUUUUGGGAGAAGACAAGGUCUCACUGUAAUGGUAACAAAGGGCCUCUUUUGUCCAUUCACAGGCAUAGGCCUCAAGAGAUGAACAGCCUUGGCCCUAGGGUUGGCCAGGGUGGCUCUAGGCUGGGCCCCAGAGGGAGUUCAGAGUCCUAGAAUUAACCAUCAGAAUUGUGAGGACGUGAGGAAGUGGGGGAUGAUGAAGAAGAACCCCAUACAGUGUCUGCACACCAUUAACAAUUGUAACAAUGUCAUCCCAUGGAAUCCCGUUGUCUAUUUUUAUAGACAGAUUAAGUCUUACCAUAAAUGAGAAUUUUUAGGGCAAAAACUGGGCUUCAGUAACCCCAACAGUUUAGGGUCAGUUAUUAAUCUCAAUAUGUCAAUUAAAGAGAUAACUGCUUGUGAGAAGCAGAGGAGGGAGAUCAUUCAGUGCAGCCACACUGGGCAACGGAACAGAUAAAGAGGUUUAAUAAUCCCAUGUGUGUCUUCAGGGUACUGAUAAAGACUUAUGUCUAAACAGAGGAAGAACUGGGGCAGUGUGCAAGAGGUUAAGUAGUUUGGUCAAGUUGUGGUCCUGCUCAUUAUGGUCUCAGCUCCUGCAAAGCGGUCUGCUAAGUUGUUUCUCACAGCCAGAGGAGUCUUUGGUUUCUACAAGAUGAUCUGCUUCAAGGGAAAGCUGCUCAUCACAUUGCUCUCAUCUUAAGGAUGCUCUACCUUCCAGGCUCACUGGUACUUGGUGGUAGUCUGAGUCUCAUUUUGUAUAAAUAUGCAACCCAUUGUUUCUGUAAUUCAAGGUGACUCAGGAAGAAAGGGUAAGGACAAUAACCUAAGUUUUCUUUUUUGCCUUUAGCCUUGAGAUGGGGGACUCAAACUUGGCCAGUGACCAACAUGCUCAUGCAGAAGCAAGUACAAAUCUAGGUCAAAGUAAAGAAUGCAGGCAUAAAAUGAAAGUAGAAAGGCUAGACCUGUAUCUUGCUUUUAUAGUUUCUAUGGGUCUGUGGGAGGAGCAAGUGUUCUCUAGCAGAAGCAGCUUCUAAGUAUCUGUUACGACUACCAACUAGACUCUUAAGCUAAUGUGACAGAUACAUUCAAUCACAUGGACCAAUCAGUAGCUUGUCCAUACCUGUUCUAGGAAGUGUUCUCAAGUAUAGACAGAGCAUGAUGAUUCUCUACAUACAAGUUUCAAGUUUGGAGCCUGGGAAGAUGGCUUGGAAGUUAAGAGCAUUGGCUGCUCUUCUACAGGACCUAGUUUGGUUCUAAACACUCAUAUGGCUGCUUACAGCACUCUGCAAUAUACAUAAGGGUUUCUACAGGUUUUCAAUCAUCUCUAGAUGACAUAUAAUACCUAAUAUGACAAUAAGCAUGUAGAAAUUUCUUUCACCAAAAGGCAAGGACUCCUUACCUGGGUUCCUGUAGCUAACAGCAGGAGGAAAGCCUGUAAGAUGUCUUCAUUUCAUGUCUGCCUCCUUUACUUCAGGUCAGACUCCUAUUCCUCUCUGAAGGGGUGUGUCCGUCAUUCAUGUCAUGUCUUCCUAUCUAGAACCUUUUCAAGGCUGAAGGCACAGAGGCACAUCAUUGUCGUAAGCCUGCAGUCAUCUUAGAUCCUAAAAACGAGCAAACCCUCUGAGAAUAAUUAUUGCUGACACACAGCUACAUCCCAGAGUAAAAGCAAUCACCUAUUAGGACCUGAUUGGUACCCUCAAUCAGACUUCUUCAGACAGCCACAAAGAGAAGGAACUAAGACAAUGAUCGACCAGACUAGUCUCAACCAGGCUUAGGGGUGCAGACCUUCUGGGUUUUGCCCAAGUUCUGCUUCUAAUGAAAGCUGAAGCUCAUAUCAGUUCCCUGCAGUCAAACGUGUGUGUGUGUGUGUGUGUGUGUGUGUGUGUGUGUGUGUGUGUGUGUGUGAAUGGAUUGAUUAAAUUUCCUCUCUCUGCCGUUUAAUCAUUACUUUUUAGUGUGCUGGCAUGGGAAACUGAACCUAGCCUGUUCGAGUGGCUAGAUGUAGGGCUUUUGCCUGGAAGAGUUCCUGUUGUAACACGAUAUAAAUACUAAAUCAAAAGUGUUAUACCAUAUGAUUUUCGGACUAAUUGGAAAAAUAUGCAUUGUCCUGCACAGGCACAAUUUAUUUCCCAAACACUUUCAAUCAAUGAUUGGUUGAAGCCUCAGAUUAAAAAACCAGUAGAUAUAGAGGCCAGGGACAUGGAGAUCUGACUAUUUUCAUGAGUAGAGUAUAAGAAACACUAUAAAAUGGAUUCUAGAAACAUGAUCAGUAAGUACAAGUCAAAUAGCUUCCUACUCACCUUCCAAAAUGCUCAAUCAAGUGUCUUCUAGAUACCUGACACAGUCUCUAAAAUUAGAGUGACUUAGGGCUCUGGAGACCUCGUUACUUUUAUCCAGUGACUAGGUAAAUCAUUGAAUUUCUGAUGACCUUUUCUUUCAUCGGCUAUAAAGGUAUGAUGUUUUCUUUGAAGUUUUACUAGAUAAUGGUACAUUUCUGGCAGAGAAGACAUAUGCCUACUGGAAUUUAUUAUUUGGGUCAACAAAUGAGACUGAUUAUAGUUUACAACUUGGUAUUUGACUCUUACUGUUGUCUCAUAGCUGUUUCCUACAUGAGAUUCUGGAAAGAGAGAAUAUAUAUGUGAUGAUUGUAGCAUUGCCACCCAUGGAGGUGGUAGUUUCAUUGGUCAGGUUUCCCAUCAUGCUCUUGUACCUGGAUACCAGAGAUGGAUGUACUUUUAAAUUUUAAUCUGUUCUAUGUGCUUAGGAAAGUCGUGUCUCUGAAAUAAAGAGUCAGUGACUUGUGCAAAUUUCAAGUUGAGCCAAGAAUUUAACCUAAGUGCCCUGGAUUCCUGCCUUAUACUUGAUGAUAAGAUGCCAUUAUGUUCCUUGUAUCUGGGCUUGGCUCUCUCUAGAGGCAAGAGGCCUUGGUGAGCUUACUUGGUUGCUCUGGUUUGAAGCACAGAGGGGGAUGUCAGUCAGUCUUCCAUGGGAAAGCUUUACAGCCUGAGUUCCUCAGAGGCCAGAGGUGAGAUCAGGUUCCUCCCUGAGACUUCAGAGAGCAUUGAGGCAACUCUAUAGGCUUGAGAGGAAAGAGACACUGAAACACUGAAGGGGAGCAGCAGAGUGAUUUAUGGGUAAACCCUGAAUGAGCAGAGCUUGUAGGCCUCAUCACAACACCAGGAAGAGUGUGGAGCUGAACAUUCUGCAAAUAUUUAAGAGGCAUGAACACCAGAGCACUCAACGAUUGAACCUGGGUGAAGGGGAGUAGAAGGGGAGUCUUGCUCAGAGCCAUGGGAGGCAGGGCCUCCUCCUUCAGGACCUGUGUCUGUUUGGGCAUCUCCCCAAGGCCAAGGCUUUAUGCACAAUAGAAUCCAAGAUGCAGAUCACAUGGGCUACAGAAACAGGCUGAGAUCACUUUUCCUGUGAGGGAAUUGGGCAGGGACAAAGGGAAAAUAAGGACAACAUGAGUAGGAACCCCAUCCUUCUCUCUCAUUUGGUUCUUGCGGUUUUAUGGGGAGCAGAGUUAACUACCUCAGUGCUGACUUGUCACCUGUUCUUGACACCGCUCCUUUAACGCCUCCAUGUUGACUAAAUGUGUCAACCAUGGUCCAGGCUAGCUUGUCUCAAACUCACGUGGCACACGCUGUCAUUGUGCUUUUUCAUCAUCGAGCAUCUUGAAAGGCCACUGUUACAGUUUGAAUGUGCAAUGUCCCACGGGUUGGACUCUUAGUUCCCACUUGGGGACUCUAUUUUAGGAGAUUACAGAAACUCUUUGGAGGUUGGGCCUCAGGAGGAAAGUGGUCUCAGGUGUGCCUUUGAAAAUUAGACAUCAAGUCCCUUUCUCAUUCUUUGCUUCUUGUCCAUCAUAGAUGAACAGCUUCCUCUUCCUGCCUCCGCUGCUGCCUUUCUGCUUAGCGCAUAGAACCAACAGCCCUGGACUGAAUUAUCUAAAUCCAUAGGAAAAGACAGAGCCUUCCUCCUUUAAGUUGUUUUGUCAGAUAUUUUGUAAUAGUCAUUAAAGCAAUUAAUGUUUUCCUCAUCUUUAUCAUCCUAGCCACUCUAUGCUCCUCUAUGGUAGAUAUAUUUUAACCUCUAUGUAUUUAUUUAGAUAUAUUUAAGUGAGAGACUUUCUCACUUGGAGGUUCAUGUGUGGCUGGCUGGCAUGCCCCAAAUUACAUCCUAAGAGUAUUGGGGCUGAAGGGGCAUGCCCUGCUUCCUUUGCAGCUCCCAUAGUGAAUUGCAAACCCUAUGUGAGCUCAGCAUUUGGGUUUAAUUAAAAAAAGCAAGAACAUCAGAAGCAAAAUGAAAAGCACAUGACCAAACAAGCAGAAAUGUGCGACAUAUGUGUAAAAGAAUGGCAUCCUGAACAGAGACAAACAGCGAAUGUUGCAAUAGAAUUGGAGAAAAACAGUGAAUUCACAAAAGUUACAUGCUUAGAAGCCUUCUGACUCACAAUAAUCACAAAUGUCUGAUAAAAAAUGAAGUAAAACUAAGCUAGCAAAAAAAUUUGUUUAGUGAGGAUAAGUGGAAAUCAACACCUCUAACAUUGUUGUUAAACACACACACACACACACACAGACACACACACACACAAAUAUAUACACUUGGGGACUUUAUUCAUGAAUGUUGUAGUCACAUGAUUUUUACCUUGUUCUCCCUCAAAUUCCUCUUAUAUCACUCUCCUUUUCAAAUCAAUGGCCUCUCCUUUAAUUAGCAUUUCUACAUUCACCUCUCCUACUGAGUCCAUUUGUCAGGGGAGUUCAAGAGAUGCCUCAGACAAUAUCAGUUAUCCCCAUUGGCCUUCGUUGCCUCCCAGAAUUUGAAUAUGACUCUCUUGCUGAAGAUACUACAUACUUCAGACACGGGGCUUGAAUGAAUGAGGAGCUGAGGGCCUCCUCCCUGAGAGCUAGCUCUUAUACUAUCCAAAGGUACUAUGCAAGCUGCUGAGGGAUAAAGGCAGUCAGUAGUCCUGCCCAGCUGUAACACCUCUCACCCUUCAAUGAAGAGCAUCCAUUUUGCAGCAGUUGGAAGCUACUGCACAUGGGAUUUUCACACAGCGUUUGAACUCAGAUCCAUUACUGGUCAAAAUGCAGAGAAUAAGUGACCAUAGGCAACCCAAUCCCAAUCAGUAUAUCCACAGUGCAACCCCUACAUCAAAGGCACAGGGAACAUUAUGCAAAAUGGGGUGAAUGUGGAAAGAUGCUGAGAGGCAGAGGACCAGGACAGGUGCUGCUAGGUAGUGUCUUCUGAACACAAGAGGGAUGCUAUACCAUGACAUUUCAAUAACAUGUUUGGGUGAGCAUGGCAUGCAUCACUCCACAUGCCAAUGUGGAUGGGGGAAAUUACACAAGGUGCUGCCUCUAAGUGGACUGCUGCAGGCCAUCAAUGGCUGCCUAGGGAAGGAGAACCAGUUUCUUCAGGGAUGAGCCUGCUGACAGUUAUUCAAUCUCAAGUGGUCAGUUUUAAAUACAGGUAAAGAUGAACUAUUGGCUUUUAAAAAAGACUUUAUAGAAAACCUUUUUCCUUCCUUCCUUCCUUCCUUCCUUCCUUCCUUCCUUCCUUCCCUCCCUUCCCUUCCUUUCUCCCUCCCUCCCUUCUCUCUGUUCCCUCCCUCCCUUUUUCACUUCCUUUCUUCCAGUACUGGUGAUUGAACCCAGGGCUCCAUGAAUGCUAUUCAAAUGUUCUAACCAUUAGAUAUAUUUCUACCUAUACCCAUUUUUCAAGGUUGUACUAAAAAUGAAAAACUUCCCAUUGUAAAUCAUUUUUCACAAUGUGGUGUUGCUAGCUGCUUCAUACAGAAUAUCCACAUUUACUUUAUGACCACACAUUUGUGUUUUUCUAAUCUUAGAGUAUAUCUUUAGGAUCAAAUUUUGUUAACAUACUAUUAUAUAUGAUUCACACUCAAAUAAUCUCCUACAAUAAAUAUAGUAUUAAUAAUAAUAAUUUCAAAUUAACCUGAUUUCUGUGGGUCAGGAAUUAAGGCAGGGCACACAGGUAGCUUGUCUGUGACUCAUGAUGUCAUAAACUUUAUCUGGAACACUAGACUAGAGUCACCUAAAGACUAACUCUCAUAGCUAGUACAGACGCAUGGCUGAUCUGUCAGCUAGAGUUCUUGCAUAUAGCCUCUCCAUUGGGCUGGGCUUUCUUCCAAUAUGGAGGAUGAAAUCUUGUGGUAAGGUGAGGAGGGUGCUGUUGCUUUAACAAAUUACCACAAGUGUAGUGGCUUUAUUCUGGGCUACUUACUCAUACAUUAUUAAUAAUAAAAAAAUCUUAAAGAACUGGGUGGAUCUGACAAAACACAGCUCAUCUCAUAGCGACUGGUUCCAAGUAUGUCCUAACUUGGUGUCUCAUGCCCAAGCAUGUCUCCACACAGACUUAACAAUAUGUCCAGAACUCUUUCUAUGCCAGAUCCUAACACCAGAAUCCCAGAGGCUUCCAUCCUGACUUUCCACUGGGGCUUGAAAAUUUUUCUGGGCUGUGUCUUUUCCCAGCAUUGACACUGAUCAGCACCCUGGGGUGUACCAGAUCAAAUGGCCUGAGUUACAUAGUGUUUUUGGCACUAUUGGUCUGGAUCUACUCACUUUUCUCCCGUGGACACCUCUAAGUCAUAGUGACCUCCCAUGCUACCUACUACAGUCAUUCCUUGUUGUCUGCAGGCCUCAGACCAAUGCAUUUAACCAAGCAUAGAUCAUUAUAUAGUUAGGUCUAUAUUAGUUGACUGUACUGACCAUGAAUUCGUUUUUCUUACAACCAUUUUCUAAACAAUAUAGUUUGAUAACUAUUUAUGUAACACCCUUAUACUAUGUUAGGUAUCAUAUGUAAUUAGCAAAGGCUUAAGGAAUAUUGAUGGGUAUGUGUUGGCUAUAAGCAAGCACUUGCCAUUUUAUGUAAGGGAACUGAACUUCUGUGGUUUUGGUAACUGGGAAGGGUCUUGGAAUCAGCCCCAUUGACAGGGAUGACUGUGGAUGUAGAAAGUUAAUAAUUAUAAUAUAGUGUAGAUGGGGUGGCAGGCAGGCUCUGAGUUUCUGACUUUAUGGUAGGGAAUAUAAGAAGUGGCUUUGGUGUGUGCUAUGGUAAAUAUAAAAAAAAAAAAGAUACACCAUCCCACACUAGUGCCGGCUCCGGUGGGCCACAUGGCAUCUGUGGGGUAUUUUCAUCUCAAUCAACAACGUCUCAACUGCUAAGCUCCCACUCUCCAUCCCACUCUGCCACCAGCUACUCUCUGAGCCUGGCAGCAGCCACUCUCUUGCAACUCUAGAAUCUAGUUCCCAAGGCAGGUCAUCACCACGCCAGCUCCAUUCAGAGUCUGCCUAUCUUGAGGCUCUCUUACUGAGGGCUUUGCUCACAUUACUGGCAUCUGCCCCCUGUGGUUCUUGUCCCAACUCCUAGUAACCUGUUAAAAUCAAAACUCAGUAAAGCUUGUAAUCUAGCAAUCAGCUUUAUAUCUUAAAUUCUCAAUCCACAAAGCGUCCACACAAUAAACUCCCAGCCAAUUGAUAAUGAUAUAAAUUGCCCAUCCAGAUAAGAAAAAUUGUCCUAUAAGAACCCAUCCCUUAUGAAAUAUUCAUAACUACCUGUUGCCAUUUAAGGCCACACGGAUCUGGGUCAUCCUUCUCUGUCUCCAUCUUGGUUCUCCUUUUUCUUUUCCUCUCUCCUCCCUUACAAAAACUCUGUCCCCACCUUACUUUUUCACUGCAUAAUCACAGGCCUUGCCUCAUCUUGUGCCAGCCCUCGCCUGCAUAUAGACAUCAACUACAGGUCUGGAAGGGAUAUCGAGGCAUAUCUCUUACCAGAAUCUGUUGACUCUAUCCUCUUGGACCCUUCCUAAUGUUAAAUCCAGCAAUUAGCGAACAUGUCCCAAAGUCAAUUAAUGAAUAUUGUGAAGGAUUCGGGCCACCUUGAUCAGAUGUUCUUACUUUGCAGUUGCAGGAGCACUGCCCUUGCUCCUGGUGGAACAUGAAGAUGAACACUUGUACUGAUUUCAGUGUAUAUGCUCAGCGGGUCAUGCUGGGCUUUGCCGAAUUAUGCUCUAGUUAUUGGCGUAGAAAUGAGGAGACACAGAAGAGUCAGUUUCUGAUAGGCUUGUGAGGAUUAUAUUCCCUUGUGGGGGACAUGUUCCUGUUGAGUAUUCCAGGAUUAAAUACUAGCAUUCCUCUCAGGAGGGAAAGCUUAAAGGGCCAGCACCUUCCACCAGGUGGUUUCUGUCCCAUAUUUCAGACUUGAGGUUUUCCCAUCAUGGCCCUGGCUUUGAAUUAAAAAAUAAAACAAAAACAAAAACAAAAACAAAACUGCAGUAGCUGAAGAUUUAAACUUAUUCUGUAGUUCUAUGAUUCUAGUAGUUAGAUCUUCAGACCAUGGUCACUCUAGAAGUUCCAGAGGGAAGCCCCCUGGCUUUCAUGCUUAGUCAUUAUUUGUGAAAUGUCUUUAAUCUUUAAGUCCUUUAAAGCAGUCUGCCCAAUUGUGGCUAAAUGAGUCAACUGCUAUCUUUGUAGGUAUUUCUCUCUUCAUAUUUAAAAAUUUUACAGCAUUCUUCUCACCUGGGAUGCCGUCUGGGGUACCACUAAGGAAACCGUUAGCAAUUGAGCCACUGUUUUGAGACUAUCUGGACCCCAUCUAUCAACAAGGAUGGUUGGUUAGAUGAGUCACAACAAAUCCUCAAUCCCCACCUAACACUUCUUUAUUCUUGGAUAAGUCCCGGGACCCUGGGUUAACUUUGUCAUUUGAGAAGCAUAUCCAGGGAGGUUGCAGCAUAGAGAAAUACAGUGGAGAGGCUAGGAGAGCCAUCAGCCUGUAACCCAGCCAAUCUCUGCUGAGGGCUAGAGGAAAUGGCUAAGGUGGCAGCAUCUUAGACUAUACUAAAGUUGCUAGAGAAUUCCAUAUAGGAGGUGCCCAUGUCACCUAGGCCUAGGCCUCCCUGUACUCCUUGGUAAGUUGGGGUCAUUUUUCUAGGAGCUAUUAUAGGAGGUAUGCAUGACCUUGGAGUGAAAGAAUGAACAGAGUCCAUGAGAGCACACAAUAGGCAGAGGAGUGGGAAGGGACUGUUCAUGGUUUUCAUAAGAAACAUGUCUUCAAAAUUCUUGACCCUCUUUUGCUUAAGUCAGAGGCUCUCUCUAUUAGUACUAUUCUAGGACUUCUAGAAGUCUUUAAAGAGAAUCAUCUUUAAUUUGGCCUUAUCCUAGGCUUCAUCGGCAGCAAGCUGUAUUUGGUCUAGGCUAUAUUGUAUUUGGUUUAGGCUAUAUUGCCCAUCUUUUUAAAAAUACAGCAUCAUAUGCACCCCCCCCAAAAAAAACCAACUCACAUUUCCAAAAUUCUGUCCAAGUUUACAUGUUCGUCAGAUUCAUUUUCUAUCUUCUGGGUAACUAUUGGCUUGCCUAAUAAUUCACAACCGUGUGACCCAAGUUGAUAUUUUAUCUGACCUGUCUACUAAUUUCUUUGUUAUUCUUUCUAGUCUCUACACACUGUUCAGUUUCAAUUCCUAUUAUUCACUUUUAAAAAUAUCAGUUUCUGUGCCAUUUGAUUAUUGUUCUAGGAAAAGUACAUAACAAAUGGUGACUAGACCUACCUCAUGCAGCAUAGAACAUUAAUAUUUUUGCAUACAUAUAUCGUAUUUGUACGUGUGCAUGGCAUGCAUAUGCAUGCAAAUAUGUGUUCGUGUGUGUGUGUGUGUGUGUGUGUGUGUGUGGUGUGUGUAUGUGUGUGCAUAUGUCUGUGGAAGCUUGAAGUUGAUGUUGCAAUGUUCCUCAAUUGCUCUCCAUUUUCUUCUUUGAGGCAGUCUCUCAGUUGAACCCAUAGCUUAUCAAUAAGAAGACUAUCUACCAAGCUUGCUCUGGGGAUCCCCUGUAUCCACUUUCCCAGGGCUCAAAUCAUAGGAGAAUUGUAGUGAGUUUAUAUCUGAAGUCUGUGCUGCACAUUUCCUGAAACAUCCUCCCAGCCUUACUAAAAUCAACUAUCUUUCUCCUUCCUUCCCUUUGUGUUUCUUUCUCCUUCCUUUCAUCCUUCCUUCCCUCUUUCCCUCCUGCUUUCUUUUCCUUCCUUUCUCUUUCACCCAGUGCUUCCCUGGGUUAUUUGAUCCAGGAUGGAGCCAGCUGGGGAAGCUCUGUUCCAUGUGUGGCUUACCAGUCUCAUGGGACCCAACAGGCCAGCUGGAUACGUUCUUGAUGAGAUGGUGACAGGGGAGCAGGAGCAAGAGUGCAAUUGCAAGAGCAUUUCUGAAGACAUACUUUGUCAUUGGUCACAGUGAGUCUUAUGGUCAGGGGGAAAGUUAAGGGGCAAGGAUAUAUGCUUUACCCAGUGAGGAACGGGAAUAACUAUUUCAGAAGAGUCACCUCUCAAUUCUGCCAAUUUACCCUCACAACCUUUGUUGUAAACCAUGUAUUUAUUUUGUAGGUUGAGUUCACUUUCAAUGACUCUUUUUAAAUAGAAGAAAUUGAAAAUUUUCAUGAAACCAGACAGUCAAAUUUUGUAACUACAUGUGGGUUUUCUUUUGCAACUUUUCUUUUUUCUUUUUUCUUUUUUCUUUUCUCUUUGUUGUUUUGAAACAAGGUCUUACUAUGUAGCCCAGGUUGACCUCCCAUCUCUGGCUCCUUGGUGCUGGGAUUAGAGGCCUACACUAACACGCCUGCUCUUCAACUUUCUGAGUUCUCUGUGAAAUGCCACAGAUUACAGCGGAAGACAUGGUCUGUACGUCACAUGUUCCCAGGAGAAAGAAUGUCUUGCCAGUAUUUUAGCCAUGUUCCCUUUAUGUAUGUUUUGGAGGAAACCCCCAGCUUUACCUCAGCCUUGAAAACAGCUUGGUAGCCAACAGCUCUAGCCUCUCGGCUCUCUUUAUUGACUACUGACUCCGUAUCUGGAGUACGUUAAGUGCAUCAAAUGCACCAACUCAAAUCCUUGACACAAUAUGACAAGGAGGGUCUAAUUGCUUCCAGAUCUAGAAGUAUAUGAAAGGUUUGAAUUGGGGAUUAACUAUCUCACAAACCAGUACACUUACCCAUCAAGAUAUCAUCCUUUUUUGCAUUCUUUAUAUUUUUGUAUAUUUUGAAUUCUUUUUGUCUCUAUUUCCCCAUCAAAAAAUGAUACAUUUGUUGCCCGAAGAGCCCUUAAAGGCCAGUGGUAAUGAAGAAGCUGCUGACCUUAGGGAGUUUGGCUUAGAAAACUUUCUGAUCAUCUAGUGGUCUUGAAAUGUUCUGUCUUAGGCAGGGUGGAGGCUCCAUGGGAAGAAUGGCUUGCUGAGGGUUUGUUCCCAAGCUUGCAAAGAGUGCUCCCAGGCUGUCCGGGUUGGGGGAGCACUGUGGCAAAAGAAAAGCAGAAUGUCACCCUGCCAGAUGCUCCUUUCCCUCUGUCAUUUGCCAGUAAGUGCUGUGUAAGGAGACAUUGCAGUGCAGGGCAGGACAAAGGUCAUGGGAGGAGGGGUGGGGAAUGAUUCAUCUUCCAGUUAACAAAAAGCCAUGGCAGUCCCAUUCUGAGUUCUCUCAGUGGAUUCGGGACAUCCAGAUUCAAUGAUCUAAGCAGACCCCCACCCCCGCUCUGCUGUAGCAGUUUCCUCGCCACCAUCUUCCUCGCCACCAUCUGACUCCAGCAUUGUUCAGGAUGCACAGCUCUGCGUCUCUCGCUGCUUUCUAGCUCCAUUCCAUCCUGUUGUAGGGUUGGAGGCUUCUUGUUUGUAUAUCAUAGAGCUGGUCAGGUUUUAGUUAAAAAAGAAGUAAAAGAUGUGAAGGGGGCUCAGAUCAUUGUCAUUUUCUCACACUUCCAUGCCAGUGGGUAGGGCAUGGUUUUCCCUCUCCACCAUCCCCUCUCCCAACAGCUGGCCUCUAUAUCCUAGCCAGCCUCAAACUCAUUACAUAGCUGAAGGCGACUUUGAACUCCUUAUCCUAUCUCUGCUUCCUGAAUGACGGGAUUGCAGGUUUGUACCUCAUUUAUGUUCUGCUAGGGAUUGAAACCAGGGCUUCAUGUCUGUUAGUUACUCAACCAAAUGGAGCGCCAUCCCCAGUCCCUCUGGUGAGUAUUUACCUGUGUUGCAGUGAAUAAAAGCUGUGUUUAAUAACAUCUGUGCCAGUUAGAAAAUGCAGAGGUGAUUAUGAAGACGGACAUUUUACAGAAAGGAUUAGCUGAGGGGGAAGACUUCCCUUCCAAGUGGGCACCUUCCUUUGGAUGGGGCAUGGAUAAAGAGGUCUCAAGAAAGAGCAAUGUCGCCUGCCUACUUUUGCCUUUUCUUCCAAGCAAGUGUGUUUAUUGCUGCCUACUGGCGUCCUCUAUUCACAGCAGGCUCCAGACUCUACAUCCUUCUGAGUCCACUCAAUACCAGCAAUUAAGUGUCAGGUCCGAUUGCCAAGCCAUCCAGCUCUGUGAGCAGCUACUGUGUUCUCAUCCUCUCAAGUGUGCAGGAGGCCAUUGUGGGGUUUUACAGAUCACAUCACAUAAGCUGUCUUAGUUCCUGUUCUAUUGCUGUGGUCAAGCACCAUGAACAAGGCAACUGUGCUGGCCAGUUUUAUGUCAACUUGAUGCAAGCUAAAGUCAUUAGAGAGGAGGGAACCCCAAUAAAGAAAAUGCCUCUGUGGUAGUUUGAAUGAAAAUGGCCCCAUGGGUUCAUAGGACCUGGCACUGUCAGAAGGUGUGGCCUUGUUAGAGUAGGUAUGCCUUUGUUAGUGGAAGUGUAUCAGUAGGGGGUGGGCUUUGAGGUCUCAGAUGUUCAAGACCAAGUCUAGUGGCUGAUAGUCAUUCCCUGUUGCCUACCGAUCUGGAUGUAGAACUCCUAGCUACUUUUCCAGCACGAGUUCUGCCUGCAUGCUGCUAUGCUUCCUACCACGAAGAUAAUGGACUAAAUCUGAACUGCGAGCCAGACCCAGUACAUGUUUUCUUUAUGAGUUGCUAUGGUCAUGGUGUCUCUUCAAAACAAUAGAAACCUUAAGGCAGCCUCUAUAUGAUUGGGCUGUAGUCAAGCCUAUAAGGCAUUUUCUUAAUUAGUGAUCUGUGUGGGAGGUUCCAGUCUAUUGUAGGUGGUGCCACCUUUGGGCUGGUGGUCCUGGGUUCUUAAAAAAAGAGCAGGCUGAACAAGCCAUUAGGAGCAAGCCAAUAAGAUACAGCCCUCCAUGGCUUUUGUAUCAGCUCCUGUCCCCAGGUUCCUGUCUUGUUUGAGUUCCUGUCCUGACUUCCUUUGAUGAUGAACUAUGAUGUGGAGGUAUGUGCUGAAUGAACCCUUUCCUCCCCAACUUGCUUUUUGGUCAUGGUGUUUCACUACAGUAAUAGUAACCCUAACUAAGACAGCAACUUAUAGAAGAGAAUGUUUAUUUGGGAUCACUGUUUCAGAGGGAUUGAGUCCAUGGUGGUAGAGCAUAGGUGUGCUUUCAGGAGCAGGAAGCUGAAGGCUCACAUCUUGAACCACAAGCAUGAAGCAGAUAAAGUAAAAAUUGAAAUAGAGUUGAGUCUUUGGACCCUUAAAGCCUUUCUCCAAUGACAUACUUCCUCCAAUGAGACCGUACCUCCUAAACAUCCCAAACAGUACCCCAACUUCAGAGCAGGCAUUCAAAUAUCUGAGACACAGGAAGCAUUUAUUGUUCAAGCCGCCACAUAAGCCAAUUUGAUAAAUAAAUCUUUACACACAUGCACACACUCAGCACACAGACGAACAUUUUGUUAGAUCUUCCCAAGGCGAAAAAGUUCUGUCUCAGGAUAAAGGGAAGUACGGAAGCAGAGGGCAGAAGUUGGGGUAUAAGGGCAAGUAUAUUAAUCAAAGUUCUCUAGAAAAGAGAAGCCAUGGUGUUGGUGUGUGUGUGUGUGUGUGUGUGUGUGUGUGUGUGUGUGUGUGUGUGUGUGUUUGCGCACAUGCUGUAUUAUCAUCAC